rnacentral:rRNA from 1 species
AUGACGGAAAUUUUUUUUGUCCAAACACUAAUUGGUCGUGUAUUAGUAGACGAUAUAUAUAUAUAUCGGUUCACGAUGCAUUGCCGCGCGAAAUCAAGAUAUUGGAAUUGGAUUAGUCAAUCGAUUCAUAACUGCCUUUCGAGCACAACCAUUUCGAGCACAACCAAUAUAUAUAUUAGAACCCCCUUUACUUGCCGAAGCACUUCUUGGAUCUGUCAAUUAUGCUAUGGCCGGAGUCCUACUCAUAGUGAUCUGGUCGAAUUGGGAGAAGCCGUAGGUAUUAUUGCAGGUCAAUCAAUUGGGGAGCCAGGGACUCAACUAACAUUAAGAACUUUUCAUACUGGCGGAGUAUUCACAAGGGGUAAUGCCGACCUUGUACGAUCCCCUUCGAAUGGAAAAAUAAAAUUCAAUGAGAAUUUGGUUCACCCCACACGUACCCGUCAUGGGCAGCCUGCUUUUCUAUGUUAUAUAGACUUGCAUGUAACUAUUCAGAGUCAAGAUAUUCUAUAUAGUGUGAAUAUUCCCUCAAAAAGCUUGAUUCUAACGCAAAAUGAUCAAUAUGUAAAAUCCGAACAAGUAAUUGCGAAGAUUCGUGCCGGAACGUCCACUUUACAUUUUAAAGAAAGGGUACAAAAGCAUAUUUAUUCUGAAUCAGACGGCAAAAUGCACUGGAGUACUGAUGUUUACCAUGCGCCCGAAUAUCAAUAUGGUAAUCUUCGCCGAUUACCAAAAACAAGCCAUUUAUGGAUAUUGUCAGUAAGUAUGUGCAGAUCCAGUAUAGCGUCUUUUUCACUCCACAAGGAUCAAGAUCAAAUGAAUACUUAUGGUAAAAAAGAUAGGGAAAUUCUUGAUUAUUCAACGUCGGAUCGAAUCAUGUCCAAUGGCCAUUGGAAUUUUAUCUAUCCUUCUAUUUUUCAAGAUAAUUCAGAUUUUUUGGCGAAAAAGCGAAGAAAUAGGUUCGUCAUUCCAUUACAAGAUCAGCAAGAACAAGAGAAAGAACUAAUAUCAUGUUUUGGGAUUUCGAUUGAAAUCCCCCUUAUUGGUGUUUUACGUAGAAAUACUAUUUUUGCUUAUUUUGACGAUCCCCGAUACAGAAAAGAUAAAAAGGGUUCAGGAAUUGUUAAAUUUAGAUAUAGGACCCUAGAAGAAGAAUAUAGGACUCGAGCGGAAGACUCAGAAGAGGAAUAUGAGAGCCUAGAAGACGAGUACAGGACCCGAGAGGAUGAAUAUGAAUAUGAAACCCUAGAAGAAUCUAAAUAUGGAAUCCUAGAAGACGAAUACGAAUAUGAAACCCUAGAAGACGAAUAUGGGAGCCCAGAAAACAAAUAUGGGAACCCAGAGAACGAAUAUAGGACUUUAGAGAAAGACUUAGAAGAGGAAUAUGGGAGCCCAGAGAGCAAAUAUAGGACCCAAGAGGACGAAUAUGGAACUCUAGAGGAAGACUCAGAAGACGAAUAUGGCAGCCCCGGGGAAAGCGCAGAGGAAAAAUAUGGUACUUUAGAGGAAGACUCAGAAGAAGAUUCAGAGGACGAAUACGAGAGCCCAGUGGAAGAAUCCAUCUAA